UUUUCAGGGACCACCAGGAUCACCUGGAAUGCCAGGAAUUACAGGAAAACCAGGAAAACCUGGAGACACUGGCUACCCAGGACCUGUUGGCGUGAAAGGAGAGAAGGGUGAAAGGGGAGAUACUGCGUCACAGAAUAUGAUGCGCUCUGUAGCAAGACAAGUCUGCGAACAACUAGUCAGCAG